rnacentral:rRNA from 1 species
GACAGAGGUCCCGAGCGUUGUUCGGAUUCAUUGGGCGUAAAGGGUGUGUAGGAGGCUAGGUAAGUCGGGUGUGAAAUCUCGGAGCUUAACUCCGAAACUGCAUUCGAUACUGCCGUGCUUGAGGACUGGAGAGGAGACUGGAAUUCAUGGUGUAGCAGUGAAAUGCGUAGAGAUCAUGAGGAAGACCAGUGGCGAAGGCGGGUCUCUGGACAGUUCCUGACACUGAGACACGAAGGCCAGGGGAGCAAACGGG